UAAAACGUAGGGGACGAGCGUUAUCCGGAUUUACUGGGCGUAAAGCGCCCGUAGGCGGCCUUGUAAGUUGGCUGUGAAAGCUCCCGGCUUAACUGGGAGAGGUCAGUCAAAACUGUGAGGCUGGAGGCUGAAAUAGGCGAGCGGAAUUCCCGGUGUAGUGGUGGAAUGCGUAGAGAUCGGGAGGAACACCAGUGGCGAAAGCGGCUCGCUGGUUCAGCCCUGACGCUGAGGGGCGAAAGCGUGGGGAGCGAACGGGAUUAGAUACCCCGGUAGUCCACGCUGUAAACGAUGGAUACUAGGUGUAGGCGGUCAUUAACCCCGUCUGUGCCGAAGCCAACGCGUUAAGUAUCCCGCCUGGGGAGUACGGCCGCAAGGUUA
rnacentral:rRNA from 1 species